GUUCAGAUUGAACGCUGGCGGCGUGCCUAAUACACGCAAGUCGAGCGAACAGAUAAGGAGCUUGCUCCUUUGACGUUAGCGGCGGACGGGUGAGUAACACGUGGGUAACCUACCUAUAAGACUGGGAUAACUUCGGGAAACCGGAGCUAAUACCGGAUAACAUUUGGAACCGCAUGGUUCUAAAGUGAAAGAUGGUUUUGCUAUCACUUAUAGAUGGACCCGCGCCGUAUUAGCUAGUUGGUAAGGUAACGGCUUACCAAGGCGACGAUACGUAGCCGACCUGAGAGGGUGAUCGGCCACACUGGAACUGAGACACGGUCCAGACUCCUACGGGAGGCAGCAGUAGGGAAUCUUCCGCAAUGGGCGAAAGCCUGACGGAGCAACGCCGCGUGAGUGAUGAAGGGUUUCGGCUCGUAAAACUCUGUUAUUAGGGAAGAACAAACGUGUAAGUAACUGUGCACGUUUUGACGGUACCUAAUCAGAAAGCCACGGCUAACUACGUGCCAGCAGCCGCGGUAAUACGUAGGUGGCAAGCGUUAUCCGGAAUUAUUGGGCGUAAAGCGCGCGUAGGCGGUUUCUUAAGUCUGAUGUGAAAGCCCACGGCUCAACCGUGGAGGGUCAUUGGAAACUGGGAAACUUGAGUGCAGAAGAGGAAAGUGGAAUUCCAUGUGUAGCGGUGAAAUGCGCAGAGAUAUGGAGGAACACCAGUGGCGAAGGCGACUUUCUGGUCUGUAACUGACGCUGAUGUGCGAAAGCGUGGGGAUCAAACAGGAUUAGAUACCCUGGUAGUCCACGCCGUAAACGAUGAGUGCUAAGUGUUAGGGGGUUUCCGCCCCUUAGUGCUGCAGCUAACGCAUUAAGCACUCCGCCUGGGGAGUACGACCGCAAGGUUGAAACUCAAAGGAUUGACGGGGACCCGCACAAGCGGUGGAGCAUGUGGUUUAAUUCGAAGCAACGCGAAGAACCUUACCUA
rnacentral:rRNA from 1 species